CGCAACACCAACAAUGCGACAGUGGUGGUCUCGCUCGCACUGAUAAAUGUAAACUGAUACCGACCGUGCGACGUCCGGCCAUGGCAAGGCGCAGGUUUGCCUUUUCGCUGCGAACGCAACAAAUUUUCACCCACAAAUUGUCACCGUGCACCGUACGUAGUAGUAGUGUGUGAAAUAGUGAAGCAGAAAGGAUAAACACACCCACACUUAAGGUAGGGUAAAGUCCUUGUUUUCCGUAGUACAAAGAAAGGAUAAGGAUAACAGGGAAGGCUAAAAACACCGACACGAUGGAAGGCAUACUGGUGUUUGACCAGACGAACGAUUUAAUCUACCACAACUUCAACGAAGCGAUGCGGGAAAAAAUGUCCAAGCAGGCGUACGAUUUGGGCCUGCUGGAUGAGGAAUCGGUGUGUCCAACGCAGGAGCUGAACUCGAAUGUGCUGAUACAAAUCUUCAGCCCGCUGCUGGCCUCGCAGCGGAUCAUGAUGUGCCAGUUCGACAACGCGUACACCGCGAUCCAGAUGGAGAACAACCUGAACGUCGUGUUUGACGAGUUUUUAGGGUAUAUUUUCCUUGAGAUCAGCACCAAAGAAGUCGAUCUGGUGAAGCGCGAGCUGGGAGCGUUCAUUGCCUUCAUUAAGUACAUCUGUGGACCAAACAUUUUCACAAUUAAAAACGAUACAACAAAGGCGGAACACCUAACCGAGCUUAUCCUCACCUACCGGGAGCUGUACGCCAUCAACCAGGGCGUGCUGAUGGAAGCGAUCGAGCAGCUGCUGGUGAACGUGGACGUGAAGAGUACGGUGGUGAACGCACUGCAGGCAGCCACCGACCGGUUAAAGCAGGACCCACACUCCCAGCGCUCCCAUUCGCUGCUCUUCGUCGGCAGCAAGUUUCUCGCCCGGUACAGCACGCGCCAGGCGCAGGAGUUGGCCGCCGUCGACAUGUUCUUCCUUAGCCUGCUCUGCCAGAUGUACAAUCGGCGCAGUGCCGCCCAUCGGCAGCGCAUUGAGUCGCGCAUCGUGUUCCUGCAGGGCAGCGUGCACCAGUCGUACGCCGGCUGCGUACCGCACAUCGUGCACGUGGUGCAGCUGUUCGAGCACGUGUCGCUGGUGCUGGUGAUCGAGCAUGCUCACACCGCACUGGCCAGCCACCUGUACGAUGUGUACUUUGCGCUGCACAAGCUGCAGAACCUGCAGAGCCAGUUCGAUCUGGACAAUUUGCGCGGUGCGUUCGAGGCGCUCGAAGCGUACGCGAAGCACACGCAGGAUGCGCUGCGCAAGGUGAAGGCGCACAAUGCCGAGGUGGACGAGUGCAUUCGCACGUUCGGCGUGCGGUGGGACACGUUGCGCAAGAAGUACGCGGAUUACUUUAAAGCAUCGGACAACGCGCUGAUCGUGAAGAUUGAGUCGAACAUGCCGAUGUUUGUGGAGUCGGUGAAGGAGCUGUUCCGGUUGCUGUGCGCCAGCUGUGCCACGCUCGAGCAUGGGUUGCAGCGCGUGAGCGACAUUGCGGACGUGGCGGAGGCGAGCCUGAAGGAGGUGUUCGUGUUCCUGCACGCCAAGUCGCAGAAAAACUUUACCAUGGGAUCAUAUAUGGAGGAGUUCCCGGGCAUGGUACACUUCAUGCAUAUAGAUCGGUACAAUGGCCGAAUCGUUGCCCCAUCACUCGACGAUCACGACCCGUCGGACAUUCUGAAGGACAGGAUAUGGUCGAUGGUCGACUUUUCGCGCACCUAUCUGGACAAGGGUUACAUGUCAAUGAUCUGGAAAGAUGUGACGUUCAGCUACGCGUACUUCCUCUGGUUCGAGGACGAGCACGGUGCGACCUUGAAGCCGAACGAACCGGCGAGCCAUGGGGCGGUACUGCCGGCCACGAAACCGUCGCUGACUGCCGGCAUCUUGGCCGGUGAUUACUAUCAGCGCCUUAUCGAAAGCUGCUUCCCAAGGACACCGUCGAGCAAGGUCCGCUGUUACGAGCUGUUUCUCGUGCACCUAGGGCUCGUCACUUCAACGAUCGUGUUGGAGCACUGUCGCCGGCUAGCCGUUACCAUUACCGAUCUGACGGGAUGCAUUGGGAAUCCGAUCGAUCUACUUUAAGGGCAUGAACAAGCGUAGCUUUACACAGCGUUGUAUGUUACAUCCGAUUAGUUUGAAGUUGUCUUAGUUUAUGCGUACAUUCCAGCAGAUUAGCAUAACGCUACGUCACAUGGACAACAUUCCAACCUUCAUUCGCCGGCUGCAUCGGUCUGCAUCCAGCAACUGCACAGUGCAAUGUUUAUUUAUUAGAAAAGUGCCGCCGAGUGCGGCCAUGCAUACCAGAUGGCUGCUACUACUACCAUUACUGCUACCACUACCACUACUACUAUCGCUAACUAAACUUUAUCACCACCUUGAGACGACCACCAGAAGCACAUUUACAUACAUAUUUAUCAAAAUUGAUCGUAUCUUUAGUACACCCAGACACGGCCAGGGCACGGUCGGCUCACACUUUCUGUGCCAAUUCUUCUUUAGAUGGCGUCGUGCGAUCAUCAAGGCAUCACCAUCAUCAUCAUCUUUAUGCAGUGUAUCAAUGACUCCACCGAAAUCAACGUACUAGGUACAAUCUUCGUUUGCAUCGUAUCUUUCCACCAUCCCACCCCGUUCUUAUCCCUCAAAAAGGUUCCUUAGGACGUAGAGGUUUGAUUGAAAGAUUUGCGUUCGAAAGCAAUAUACACACACAGUGUGUCCCCGGAUGUAGAGGGAUAUCAAAGAUU